GGGGGACCUUCGGGCCUCUUGCCAUCAGAUGUGCCCAGAUGGGAUUAGCUAGUAGGUGGGGUAAUGGCUCACCUAGGCGACGAUCCCUAGCUGGUCUGAGAGGAUGACCAGCCACACUGGAACUGAGACACGGUCCAGACUCCUACGGGAGGCAGCAGUGGGGAAUAUUGCACAAUGGGCGCAAGCCUGAUGCAGCCAUGCCGCGUGUGUGAAGAAGGCCUUCGGGUUGUAAAGCACUCUCAGCGAGGAGGAAGGUGGUGAGCUUAAUACGCUCAUCAAUUGACGUUACUCGCAGAAGAAGCACCGGCUAACUCCGUGCCAGCAGCCGCGGU
rnacentral:rRNA from 1 species